rnacentral:tRNA from 1 species
GGGCAGGUAGAUCAGAGGUAGAUCGCAUCGUUCGCAACGAUGAGGCCACGGGUUCGAAUCCCGUCCUGUCCA